CAGUCAGAGACUGAGCCACCAAGCAGAUAUCAAUCAGAGACUGAGCCACCAAGCAGAUAUCAAUCAGAGACUGAGCCACCAAGCAGAUAUCAAUCAGAGACUGAGCCACCAAGCAGAUAUCAGUCAGAGACUGAGCCACCAAGCAGAUAUCAGACAGAGGCUGAGCCACCAAGCAGAUAUCAAUCAGAGACUGAGCCACCAAGCAGAUAUCAGACAGAGACUGAGCCACCAAGCAGAUAUCAGACAGAGACUGAGCCACCAAGCAGAUAUCAGUCAGAGACUGAGCCACCAAGCAGAUAUCAGUCAGAGACUGAGCCACCAAGUAGAUAUCAGUCAGAGACUGAGCCACCAAGCAGAUAUCAAUCAGAGACUGAGCCACCAAGCAGAUAUCAAUCAGAGACUGAGCCACCAAGCAGAUAUCAAUCAGAGACUGAGCCACCAAGCAGAUAUCAGUCAGAGACUGAGCCACCAAGCAGAUAUCAGACAGAGGCUGAGCCACCAAGCAGAUAUCAAUCAGAGACUGAGCCACCAAGCAGAUAUCAGACAGAGACUGAGCCACCAAGCAGAUAUCAGACAGAGACUGAGCCACCAAGCAGAUAUCAGACAGAGACUGAGCUACCAAGCAGAUAUCAGACAGAGACUGAGUCACCAAGCAGAUAUCAGUCAGAGGCUGAGCCACCAAGCAGAUAUCAGACAGAGGCUGAGCCACCAAGCAGAUAUCAAUCAGAG